AAUCUCCGAGGGAUUCUGACCGAGUGGCCGAAGCAAUAGAUUCCUUCGCUCCAGCAAGCCAGGGCCUGGGACCAGGUUCCCGUGCCUCCCUGUGCUUCUGAGCCUCAGCUUUAAGAGGUCUGAGGGCAGAGCUGCUGGAGCCUCAGCAGGUCCAAUUCUGGCAUUGUUGGCUCAAUCGAUACGUGUUUAUUGAACACCCUUGACGGCAGCCCUGGGGUCUCCGGGGGUGCUGGAGACACUGAACAGCAAGAGCACCCUCGGUUCCUGGAAAUCAUAAUUGCUCGUUCUUCUUAUCAGAGGCAGGGCCCCAGUGACCUUCCUCGCUACCCCCCCCCAAGGCAAUGAUGGAGCUACGUAGUGAAAAGCAGAGAGAUGUAUUCGCUUCGCUGUGGCCACAGUGAGAAGGGUGACAAGUAAUGAGGUCCAGGGACCCCCCCCCCCAAUCCAUCUUCAGACUGAGGUUGAGGUUUGAGAGAGAUGCACAGCCAGGUUGUCCCACCGUGUGCUGUGCCGUGUGUCACUGACCCAGACCAGUCUGGGCUCCAGUCUGUCCUGUGUAGAAUUUUUCCCUGACAGACAAGUACCCUCUCUGGCUGUCAGCAGGCUUCAGCUUUUUUUCUUCUCUGAGCAUGAGACUCCUGUCGGAGGGGAUUCCGAUUCCUGGGGGAACCUUUAUCUCAACAGUCUGAUAGCCAAAGGGAUGGGCUCUGUAGAGUCCCUAGAGAGUAUAGGCCAGGAUGGUUUUGUUCUUGCUCCAAGCACAGACCACGCCUGUGAACUCGUUUACUAUUACAGAUGGGGAAACUGAGGCAUGGAGACACCUCUAAGCAACUAAUUAAAGUACAGAGUUGAGAAGGCCAUGAGGAGGGUCCCUCAGAGGUAGUAACUCAUUCAUUCAUUCAUUCAUUCAUUCAAGCUUCAGUCAGCUGUAGUGGAGCAUGCCUAGAGUCCCAGCUGCUCUAGAAAGAUGGAGCAGGAGAACUGUUGGAGCCCAAGAGUUUCAAGUUGGCUUAGGCAACAGAGCAAGACCUGGUCUCUAAAAUAAACAAACUUAAGCAAA
rnacentral:lncRNA from 1 species